rnacentral:rRNA from 1 species
CCCUUAGACGUUCUGGGCCGCACGCGCGCUACACUGACCAGUGCAACAAGCAUCCGUCCUUGGCCGACAGGCCCGGGCAAUCUUUGAACGCUGGUCGUGAUGGGGAUAGACUUUUGCAAUUUUUGGUCUUCAACGAGGAAUUCCUAGUAAACGCAAGUCAUCAACUUGCAUUGAUUACGUCCCGGCCCUUUGUACACACCGCCCGUCGCACCUACCGAUUGAAUGGUCCGGUGAAGCCUCCGGAUUGGCGCGCACCUCGGUGCCGCCGAGAAGUUGGCUAAACCUUACCAUUUAGAGGAAGGUGAAGUCGUAACA